GCGGCGCGUCCGGCGGCGCGGGGCUCGCCGCGAGGGCUCCUCCGGCUCCCCCACGGCCCGGGCUCCGAGGCGCCCUGCUGGGGGUUUCCUCUCGCUCCUGUCGCCGCCCUGUAAUGAGCCGGGACGGCAGACGCAUCGCUGGCGGGGCAUGUUGCUGCCAUAUAAGAAGCUCCGGUAAGUUCAUCACUUAAGUAACGUGACUGCCCGCCCUGGUCGGAAACGCCGCUGCCGCACGAUUGCCCAGAAAGCCCCAGCGAGAGAGAAGCGACGUGUCGGAUCACACGCACCUUCUGAGGAGCUAGUUCUGGCCCUGCAGAAGAAGGGAAAAGGUUCUUCAUACUCCAGGCCCCAUCUGAAACCUCAGCGAACAAUUCAAGACAGCAGAGACCUCCCCUGGGAGUCAGCCAGGACGGCUCAGGUGCCCUGGAAAACAGGCGUCACAAAACCACAUCAGGCACAACAAUGGCUGGAGCAAGAUGAAAGAGAAGAGUUAACACGUUCGUGCAGUUUAAGGCCCGAAGACACGACGAAUGUACUUUUUCCGAGCCCCUGGGGACCUCUGUGUUGCCUGGCCUGGCCUUGCUCGCCUGCAUGCCCAGAUGCUGCGUGGCCAGGCCUCGCUCCCCAGCCCUCUCCUCAGGUGAAGGUGGAGCUGAAUCGCACAGAGGACUGACCAAAGCCCACAGAAGUCUAACUGGCCUGGAGCUACCAAAGGCUCCACAAGGGAGAAAGCCCCUGGACAAGCACAAGAGCCUCCUCUCUACUGCAAAGCCUGAACUGGCUUUAGCACUAAGAAAAGUCAGGGAAACAUUCACAGUCUGGCUCAAGCUUUGCUUGGAAGAUGCCAACUAGUCACAAAAAUGACAACAGAAAGAAACUAAAUGAAUGACUGGAAGCUGCUAGUAGGCCUCUGGCUGUCAGUGAGCAAGUCUGCAUUCCUGCAUAUGUCCUGCAGGGGAGCACGCACUCCAGGUCUGUCCUGCCUCGUCUCAGAGACUCUGACUGGCCACGGACGUACAGGCAAACGCCAUCUUCUCCUAUAUCCUCUUCAAAUGGGAAUAUGAUUUUGGCAAGUCUUGUAUUUACUUCUCUGACCCGCAUUUUCCCAGAUGGCCUAACGCACUCCUUACCUGUGCAGGGACCAUUCAGCAACUCCUCUUCCUCAGAGCCCUUGAAACAGGCAACCAGCAGCUCUUCCUCUUGUUCUAUGCAGGAGAUGACAUCCAGUUUAAGACUGAGAAUCCUCCUCAGGAGAAGAGAACUGGGUUACUACUAUUUGCUCCAAAGAUACCUCCUUGAUGUUAAGCCCAGCCAUACAUUUGCUAGGAGAUGCAUUAGACAGACAGACAGAAAGGAAGUCCUUGGCUGGAAAGACCCACUUCCAUUGUGAACUGUGCUUUGACCACACUAGGAAAUUGAGAUAAAUCACACGUGAUGGGGAGGGGGAAGGGAAGAGACAUAUGCAAGGCUUGGUUUCAGUCUUAGUGAUCUCUAAACUGGCAGAGACAUGAGAAUGGACCAUGGCAGAGCCCAGCAAGACUCUCCCAGGAAACCUAGCCCAAACAUCUUGCACCUCAUAGUGCAAAUGCUGAACAAAGCAGGAUGGUUUUUUUCCAGCCAAGGACAACCUCCUUCAACAAAAGAAAAAGGUUCAGAAGUCAAACUUUCAGCAAAAUGCAGCACAAGUCCCACAGACAGCCUCUGUUUCUAAGGCUCCCCCCAAGCCCAAGCUAUCUAUCACCAAGCUUCAAGAUCUAGCAAAUUACAGUAAGAAAAGCUGCCCAGCAGCUGUCUUCUCCCUUGGACUCUAAAAUCUCACCUCCUCAUAGACUAGGCCUGGCUCUGGCAUCACCACAGUGGUUCAUGCAUAAGGAAAGAUCACUCAUGGCAAGAGAUAUUAACUGUAGCAGAAGCAGUUAAAGGUACAUUGCCCAUAUUCUUCUGCUCUCCUUCCCCUCUUCUCUGCACUCUGUACAUACUGAGGAUUUCGGGCAAUGAAGGAGGAAAGCAUUUUUGCACUCUGUAUCCCAGGCACCAAUUUUAAGGAGGUGCAGGGCUCCCGUUCACUGCCCUGGAGAAGACAAAAAGUGUCCACGCUCUAACCCCAUGCAUCCCCAGUAUAGAGUACAUAUGGCCAAUAAAUCUAAGCCCUGACUACUGCACACGGCUCCCUGCUCAGCAGGGAACAAGACAGACCAACAUUGCCCAGAGAGCACAGAAGGGACGCAACAAACUUGAAUAAAUAAUAGGAACACAGAGUGGGGCAGCAGAGGAAAUCCUUCCUCUGUCUGAGCUCAUGCUAUGAUGCCAGGAUGACUCCUCACUCCAGCCCCCCUUGCCAAAGCAACAUAUGGGUGACUCCUCACUCCAGCUCCCAUGAACAGAGUCAAAAAAACAGCAUGAAGUCUGCAUGACGCUCCCUCGCAGCUGCUGCUGGGGUGGGUUGUUCCUGCCAGGAGACAGACAUCAGACACUGCGGGAGCAACUCCGGUCUCAGCCUGAGACUGCCCAUGCAGGAAACAGGCACAAACUGUGGACUGAGUAUCACGCGAUGGCUGAGGGUGGAAGGAACCUCUGGAGAUCAUCUAGUCCACUCCCCCACCCCCACUCAAGCAUUUGCAUGUAUCUGCGCACUCAUCACCUCUUCCAGACGCUGCUUCCCUUUCCAUCAUACCUCUGCCUGCACCUCUAGCUAGGGACCAGGCUCUGUUCCCAGCAGGUUUGCUCGCUCUUAGCCGGAUGGGUGGCAGGAGCAAGAGCUCACAACGUCAGUUGGCAGAGCGGGGGCUUGCAGACAUGCGGGGUCAGGGAGGCGAGGGCAUUGGUGCGGUCACUCUUGCCUGUCCUCAGUUACCUGAACUCUCCAUCUCAGGAGUUUGCAUGUGCAGAGCUUCCCUGGGAAGAUGGUCUCUGCUGGGAGAAAGAACAUAUCGUGCAUCAGGCACAGGGUUAUGACACGACAUGCUGCUGCCAGAGUGCCCCGGCACGAGGCAGGACACCAGCCCUGCGGCCACGUGGGCGCUGCUGGGUGCCCACAACCCAGUGCUUGCCUCAGCCUUCCCAGACUCUGUGCUGGCAGGCAACCCCAGAGACCCCUCCUGAGAAACAGGGACGCCUUGCUGUCUGUCAACUGUCAGGUCAGAAAUAUGGACACGAUCCCCAGCAUUUGUGCAGCAGGAGUGGAGGCUUCAAUCAACCCUGCUGCCUGCUGAGCUUCAUCGUGGCAUUUAAUGCUUAGGGCUGUUUUCUCCUGAAAUAAAAGGCAGGUCAGCUUCUUAGAGCAGCCUAGUGAGGGAAACAGUUGCGUGGAUCAGGGUGCUGACAUCCACUGCUCUGUGCAGUUGACUCUGCAGGGUACCCAGUGAACAUCGCCCAGGAGAACCGCAGCCCAAUCUGUAGAGAAUUAAGACCUUAUCUCUUACUUUAUUACCCUGAUUUCCAUGGCCUGACAUUGUAACUCUCCAGUAGCCAGUGCCUGCCUGUUGGCACCAUGAUGAGGGCUAGAUGGCCCUUUGGUCUGGCCCAUCACAGCAAGCAUGGUCAACCUUACGAGAGAAAAAAAAUCAAAGCAGCUUUGAUUUUUUUUUUUUUUUUUUUUGGACAGAGGGAACAUGUAUUUCUUUCCUGUGCUGUGGAGGAAAGGAUGACUGGGUCAGUAAGUCAAACCUUUGCAGACCACAGAGAAUCUUAACCAUUGACAGAACCUCGAUUUUGGUCAAGAAAAAACCUGGGCACUAUAGCAGCCAGAUAGUGAGAGACAAGGAACCUGGGCAGAGGAAUACUGAAGGUACCUCUGAAAUCCUGCUCUGGGAGACAGUGACUGAAUCACAGAGACAUCUUUGUUGAAGACUGUUUCAUCUCUCCCAGUCACUUUGUUGUUUCACUAAAAACCCAAACAGCUUUUAUGCAAUGUCUUUAAAAGAAAAUUUAUACAGGAAUGUUUUAAACUGUCACUAAAAAGCAAAUAAGUGCCUUUGAAAUGUAUUUCCAGAACACCUUUAGUCUCCUUAAAGAACUGCAAGAAGGACUGCUCUUGUAUUUAAUCCUUUGGUACCUAAACUUUAGCACUGUAAGCCUAAUAUUUGGGGUUUGUUGGCCCAGUAGAAAGGGAAGGCACAACAGUGAAUCAGUCUAUAUUUAACACUAUUCAAAUGUUUUUCAUUAAGUUGGUCCCUACAUGGGUCUUGGACACCAGGAGGAUCGAUUACAUCCAGUUAAGAAAUGCCAAGAGACAUAGGGUGACUUCUGGAGUGAGUGGACAUAGAACUGCACUUGUACAAGAAAAAUAACUCUCUUGCCAGAUGCAAGAUUAUUAUAUAAACAUAGGUAGCACAGCUUUUCAGAAUAAACCUUUCGAGAUUAUUUUUGUAAGUAGGAAAUGUGAUAGUGCACAAAACAACAGGCCGGUAGCUGCAAAAGCAUGCCCUAAUGUUAUCUGUAGUCAACCACACAGAUCAUGUGGUUGCCACAGCACAUUUAGAAGCAGUGUUUUCCAAGGCUCAUUCAGAGCUCAUCUAGUGUGUCCUGGCAGAACAAAAGCAUUAUGGAUUGCCAAUAACAUAUUUGCUACUUUUUAACUUAGAAAACAAUUAAAAUCUUCGUUGAAAAGUCCUUUUCUUACAGCCAUGGAAGCAUUAAAGCAAACAUAUCAAAAUAUUUUUCAUAGCUGUUACUACAGAGUUGGAAAUAAUUACAGGAAUAAUUACAGAGACAAUUGAUUUUCCAAAACAGAAAUGAGUCUGCGUUAAGAACCUACGAAAACAGAGCAAUAUAUACAGAACAAGCUGACUGAUAACAAAUCAUCACUGGCAGAUGGUAACAUCAAUGUUAGCUGGAAGAGACACCCUUUGCUUACAGAUUAAUGGAGCCAGUUAACAAAUAACUUCUUUCUGAUAAUUUGCAGGGUAUGUCAGAUACGUCACUGUGAUCUUGAGGGCUGUAAACAUUUUAAAUCUUUCUUCCUCUUCUGGGAGAAGCAUUAGAAUUACCAAAGACAUUUCAUCAACUUCAGCCACAAAGACACCAAGACAAGCCUCUGCAAAAUGUUACCUCCAAACCCCGAUAGCACAAGUGUUUAAAAUUAUUUUUCUGCAUUAGGCAAAGGUUGUCCAGUUGCAUGGCUUAAGGAUGACAGAGAUAGGAGGAUGGAGACACCUUCAGUGACUUAACAGACUAGGAAGUUUCUUAUGCUGCAGCGCUAUUAGUUGAACAAUUGUAAUUUAUAUGCACUGAAGUGUGGCACUGUUUGUUGAAGGUUAAAAUAUAACCAAGAAUAUUUUGACUGCA